GAUGAACGCUGGCGGCGUGCCUAAUACAUGCAAGUCGAGCGAACAGAUGAGGAGCUUGCUCCUCUGACGUUAGCGGCGGACGGGUGAGUAACACGUGGAUAACCUACCUAUAAGACUGGGAUAACUUCGGGAAACCGGAGCUAAUACCGGAUAAUAUAUUGAACUGCAUGGUUCACUAGUGAAAGACGGUUUUGCUGUCACUUAUAGAUGGAUCCGCGCCGCAUUAGCUAGUUGGUAAGGUAACGGCUUACCAAGGCAACGAUGCGUAGCCGACCUGAGAGGGUGAUCGGCCACACGGGAACUGAGACACGGUCCAGACUCCUACGGGAGGCAGCAGUAGGGAAUCUUCCGCAAUGGGCGAAUGCCUGACGUAGCAACGCCGCGUGAGUGAUGAAGGUCUUCUGAUCGUAAAACUCUGUUAUUAGGGAAGUUCAAAUGUGUAAGUACCUAUGCACGUCUUGACGGUACCUAAUCAGAAAGCCACGGCUAACUACGUG
rnacentral:rRNA from 1 species